GCAGUGUACCCGCGGCAAGACGGAAAGACCCCGUGAACCUUUACUAUAGCUUGACACUGAACAUUGAGCCUUGAUGUGUAGGAUAGGUGGGAGGCUUUGAAGUGUGGACGCCAGUCUGCAUGGAGCCGGCCUUGAAAUACCACCCUUUAAUGUUUGAUGUUCUAACGUGGACCCGUAAUCCGGGUUGCGGACAGUGUCUGGUGGGUAGUUUGACUGGGGCGGUCUCCUCCUAAAGAGUAACGGAGGAGCACGAAGGUUGGCUAAUCCUGGUCGGACAUCAGGAGGUUAGUGCAAUGGCAUAAGCCAGCUUGACUGCGAGCGUGACGGCGCGAGCAGGUGCGAAAGCAGGUCAUAGUGAUCCGGUGGUUCUGAAUGGAAGGGCCAUCGCUCAACGGAUAAAAGGUACUCCGGGGAUAACAGGCUGAUACCGCCCAAGAGUUCAUAUCGACGGCGGUGUUUGGCACCUCGAUGUCGGCUCAUCACAUCCUGGGGCUGAAGUAGGUCCCAAGGGUAUGGCUGUUCGCCAUUUAAAGUGGUACGCGAGCUGGGUUUAGAACGUCGUGAGACAGUUCGGUCCCUAUCUGCCGUGGGCGCUGGAGAACUGAGGGGGGCUGCUCCUAGUACGAGAGGACCGGAGUGGACGCAUCACUGGUGUUCGGGUUGUCAUGCCAAUGGCACUGCCCGGUAGCUAAAUGCGGAAGAGAUAAGUGCUGAAAGCAUCUAAGCACGAAACUUGCCCCGA
rnacentral:rRNA from 1 species